rnacentral:rRNA from 1 species
UACGUAGGGUGCAAGCGUUGUCCGGAAUUAUUGGGCGUAAAGGGCUCGUAGGCGGUCCGUCACGUCGGGAGUGAAAACUUGGGGCUUAACCCCAAGCCUGCUUCCGAUACGGGCGGACUAGAGGUAGGCAGGGGAGAACGGAAUUCCUGGUGUAGCGGUGAAAUGCGUAGAUAUUGGGAGGAACACCAGUGGCGAAGGCGGCUCACUGGACCGGUUCUGACGCUGAGGCGCGAAAGCGUGGGGAGCAAACGGG